rnacentral:rRNA from 1 species
GGGGGUGCGAGCGUUAUUCGGAAUCAUUGGGCGUAAAGGGCGCGCCGCCGGUUUUGUAAGUCAGAUGUGAAAUCCCGGGGCUUAACCCCGGAAGUGCAUAUGAAACUAUGAGACUUGAGUAUGGGAGAGGGAANCGGAAUUCCUGGUGUAGCGGUGAAAUGCGUAGAUAUCAGGAGGAACACCGGUGGCGAAGGCGGCUUCCUGGACCAAUACUGACGCUGAGGCGCGAAGGCGUGGGGAGCGAACAGGAUUAGAUACCCUGGUAGUCCACGCAGUAAACGUUGAUCACUAGGUGUAGCGGGUAUUGACCCCUGCUGUGCCGGAGUUAACGCAUUAAGUGAUCCGCCUGGGGAGUACGAUCGCAAGAUUAAAACUCAAAGGAAUUGACAGGGGCCCGCACAAGCGGUGGAGCAUGUGGUUUAAUUCGACGCAACGCGAAGAACCUUACCUGGACUUGACAUCUCGGGAAUUCCGUUGAAAGACGGGAGUGCCUUUAACGAGGAAUCCGAUGACAGGUGCUGCAUGGCUGUCGUCAGCUCGUGUCGUGAGAUGUUGGGUUAAGUCCCGCAACNGAGCGCAACCCCUAUUCUUCAGUUAACCAUCAGNGUGAUGCNUGGGGACUUUGGAGAUACUGCCCCGGUUAACGGGGAGGAAGGUGGGGAUGACGUCAAGUCCUCAUGGCCUUUAUGUCCAGGGCUACACACGUGCUACAAUGGUAUGUACAAAGGGAAGCGAUCCCGCGAGGAGGAGCUAAUCCCAAAAAGCAUAUCAAAGUUCGGAUCGGAGUCUGCAACUCGACUCCGUGAAGUUGGAAUCGCUAGUAAUCGCGGAUCAGCAUGCCGCGGUGAUACGUUCCCGGGCCUUGUACACACCGCCCGUCACACCAUGAGAGUUGGCUGUACCAGAAGUCGUUGGGCUAACCCGCAAGGGGGGUAGGCGCCUAAGGUAUGGUUGAUGAUUGGGUGAAGUCGUANCAAG